rnacentral:rRNA from 1 species
UACGAAGGGGGCUAGCGUUGCUCGGAAUUACUGGGCGUAAAGCGCACGUAGGCGGUCUUUUAAGUCGGGUGUGAAAUCUCGGGGCUUAACUCCGAAACUGCAUUCGAUACUGCCGUGCUUGAGGACUGGAGAGGAGACUGGAAUUUACGGUGUAGCGGUGAAAUGCGUAGAUAUCGUAAGGAAGACCAGUGGCGAAGGCGGGUCUCUGGACAGUUCCUGACGCUGAGGCACGAAGGUCAGGGGAGCAAACGGG